CCUACGGGAGGCAGCAGUGGGGAAUAUUGGACAAUGGGGGCAACCCUGAUCCAGCCAUGCCGCGUGUGUGAAGAAGGCCCUCGGGUUGUAAAGCACUUUCAGUGAGGAAGAACGCCUGGUGGUUAAUACCCAUCAGGAAAGACAUCACUCACAGAAGAAGCACCGGCUAACUCCGUGCCAGCAGCCGCGGUAAUACGGAGGGUGCGAGCGUUAAUCGGAAUUACUGGGCGUAAAGCGCGCGUAGGUGGCUUGAUAAGCCGGUUGUGAAAGCCCCGGGCUCAACCUGGGAACGGCAUCCGGAACUGUCAAGGUAGAGUGCAGGAGAGGAAGGUAGAAUUCCCGGUGUAGAGGUGAAAUGCGUAGAGAUCGGGAGGAAUACCAGUGGCGAAGGCGGCCUUCUGGACUGACACUGACACUGAGGUGCGAAAGCGUGGGUAGCAAACAGGAUUAGAUACCCUGGUAGUC
rnacentral:rRNA from 1 species